AUACGUAGGGGGCGAGCGUUGUCCGGAAUGAUUGGGCGUAAAGGGCGCGUAGGCGGCCCGGUAAGUCUGGAGUGAAAGUCCUGUUUUUAAGAUGGGAAUUGCUUUGGAUACUGUCGGGCUUGAGUGCAGGAGAGGUAAGUGGAAUUCCCAGUGUAGCGGUGAAAUGCGUAGAGAUUGGGAGGAACACCAGUGGCGAAGGCGACUUACUGUACUGUAACUGACGCUGAGGCGCGAAAGUGUGGGGAGCAAACAGGAUUAGAUACCCUGGUAGUCCACACUGUAAACGAUGAAUGCUAGGUGUAGGGGGUAUCGACCCCUUCUGUGCCGCAGUCAACACAAUAAGCAUUCCGCCUGGGGAGUACGGCCGCAAGGUUGAAACUCAAAUGAAUUGACGGGG
rnacentral:rRNA from 1 species